CAUGGUCACUUUGAGGAAAACAAAAGCUCAUUGAAGGUUUCAAUUUUCAUAUCAAUUCCCCUCUCAUGAUCAUGAUCAGAAAGUUCCAAAUCACUUCCCCCUUCAAGUUGUCUCGUGAGCCUGAUUGCUAAUUACAUCUAGUGCUUUGCAUCCGCGAUGACUUGCUCUCUAGCGCCGGGUGGUUAGUGUAGUGGGAUGAUGACUUGCUCUCUAGUGCCGAGUGAUCAAGGUAGUGGGU
rnacentral:lncRNA from 1 species